rnacentral:lncRNA from 1 species
UCGUCAGAGCCCCAGAAUGAGGGUCAGCAGGAACGUGCGGGCUCCUACAAAGUCCUGUGGAAGAUGCCUGUCUGUUCCGCUGAUCGCCUGUCUCCAGGCCCAAGGAGGGGUGCCUAGCUCCUUUGUAAGAGAAUGAAGAGAUCCGGAAAGAGAGGGGGCCUGCUGGACGAUCAACGAGCCGGAUUUCUCACCUUCCCAUUCCGAGGAGGUGUUGUCAUCAACCUUUAGAGAGAAACUGGAUUGAUUUAGGGGGUAAGAAAGUUCAUUCUCCCUGGCUUUAUAUAUAUUUUCCAACCCACUGCUAAAUGUUAGUGGUCUUUAGUGUCUUUAUGUGAUGUAUACCACUUGUCAGUAUUUAUUUAAUGUAAUCUAUGUCAUUUAAAGAAGGUUAAAUUAUAGGGUAACUAGAGAGCGACAAUAAUAUAAUUUAAGCACAAUCAUUUACAGGAAGAUUUCCGCCCUAAAACUUGGUUAAAAUACAUUUGAGACACACACCGUUCAAUUCAUUGCACAAAUUUGACUUUGUGACAGCUCCAACAUAGUCUGUUGUAUUUAAUAAGAAGUCCUGCCCAUAAAAGAAGAUUUAAUGACAUUAAUGAAAUUGCCUUUAUGUAUUAAUGGAACCGAAGGAGUCUUAACUCUAAAAGCAAAUGUUCUUUAAACCUAAAUAUUUGAUACUCAAGAAAAUCAGCUGAGAAAAAACUUGUCGAAAGUGAUGAUUCUAUCUGAUAAUGGUAUCCACAUCUGGAGAUACUGUGAAAAUUACUUUAUGCAGUGGAUAAAUUAGUGUCCAUUCUUCUCAAGGUCUCAGAGUUCAUAACUUAUUUUUUAUACUUAUAGUGAAAUGUCCCCAUUUUUUGGCAAGCUUUAUCCCAGAUCCCUCUAGGCAACUGGGAGGUAGGGUAUAUCAACUUAAAUUUCUAGAAAUUGUAUCCUAUUUGGCAUUAGAACCCAUAUGUUAGAAUUUGUAGUUUGCCACAGGGGAGAAAAUGAGUUCACUCCUGAAGCACUUAUUUAAGAUCACACAUGUGAUCCAGCAGUCAAAGGAGCAUC